AAUGGAGACUCCGGAAGGCAACCACCAAAACCUUGAUUUUCAAGAAGCUCUUGAGAGUGAAGAGGAAGUCGAGGACGUAAACCCCUUUCAUGAAGCUGGACCUGCAAACCCAGCAGCACGAGGCAGAUUGGAAGAGCGUUUACUUCAUGCUCUUGAGGAUUUAAAUAGUGGAGUUAAAAUUGAAGUCGCUGAUUUUCAUGGGAAAUNNNNNNNNNNNNNCGAAGACUAUUUAGAUUGGGAAACUAGUUUAGAAAAUUAUUUUGAAUGGAAACCAAUGGUUGAAACCCGAAAAGUGCUUUUUGUAAAGCUUAAAUUAAAGAGUACUGCACUUCAAUGGUGGAAGAGAGUUGAGGAGCAGCGUGCACGACAAGGAAAGCUUAAAAUCAGCACGUGGGAGUACAUGAAAACUGAGCUAAGGAAGCAAUUUUUAGCAGCUGAUUACGCAAUGGAACUAUAUGAAAGGUUCCACUGCUUGAAACAAAAUAGCAUGUCUGUUGAAGAGUACACUGCAGAAUUUAAUAAUUUGUCCAUUCGAGUUGGAAUAUCUGAAAGUAAUGAACAAAUUACCUCUCGCUACCUUGCUGGUUUGAAUCAGUCCCUUAGAGAUGAAAUGGGCAUAGUCCGAUUACACAAUCUUGAAGAUGCUCGCCAAUAUGCCUUAGCAGCUGAAAAGCGAGUUUCUCGUUACGGUGCUAGAAGGCCCAUAAACAGAAGCAAUUUGCAAAACAAUUUCGGACCUGCAAGAGGGAUUCAANN
rnacentral:lncRNA from 1 species